rnacentral:misc_RNA from 1 species
CAAUGAGUGUUUUAUGGCACUCUUUAAAAAUCCAUAUCCACCUUGUUACGACUUUUACUUCCAAAUAUCAACCUAUAUCUUUAACAACAUUCGUCUGAUAACAUAUUAUGAAUAUACUUAAUUCAAAAUA